GGACUCGUAGCUCAGCUUGGUUAGAGCGCCGGUCUUAUAAAGCCGGAGGUCGCCGGUUCAAAGAGGCCUUUCUUCAAAAGAAAGCCCUCGGGGAAAGAACUUGGAAACCAAGGUUUCCCGGUUUGCCUCUGAGAUUCCGGCCGGGUCCACCA
rnacentral:tRNA from 1 species